GGCUUAAUUAACAUGUAUUGAUUGUAGUCCUGAGUGCAUCUAUAGGUGGGUGGACUGUGUUGGGAGAAAUCCUCCUCAGAGAUGAAGAUUUGCUGAUAGCAUUCUGAAUAAUUGUCUUGUGAAGAGACAGAAGUCUUUGCUGUUUUCUCUGCAGAAAGCUUUAAACAAAAGGUAUUGUUUAUAAUUAAGGCAAAAAUUUGGCAGGGCCGCUUUAUAGAUGGGAAGAGAGUUCUGCUGCAAAAAUAUUAAUGAAUUGACUCAUUAAUUAGGUGAACAAAGAAGAGAGAAAAUUGGAGGAGAGUUGGAGCAAAUAAGGAAGCGGAUGCAACCGGAAACUUUUUUUGGGGAUAAGAAGAUCAGGAUGUCACCCACAAAGCUCUGUGGAAAUGGGAGAUGGCUCCAGAGGCGCAAGACACAAGUUCAGGGGCAAAUGGAAAUGAGGGAUGAAGAACAUUUUCCCUUUGAGGUUUGGCUCAUCCUAGCAGAGACUGGAGGUAACUAUUGUUUUUCUCAUGCACCUUUGAUUUUUUUUUAUUUUAUUUUAUUUUUUUUUUUUUUACAGCAAUCCCAGACUGGAAAAGCGGGAAGGUGUAUUGGCUGGAAAAUUGCAAUGCCUCCCCAAAAUUUAAUAGCUGCCCUGGGUGCUUGGCUUCUGGGCAUGGCCAGGGAAACAGAUACCACUUGCAGGACUUCAGCUCUUUGUCAGAGGGCAGAGGAAGAGGAAGAAAGCAGUGCAGAGAUGUUCACUUGCUGGCUCAAGGAAUGAGCAUCCAUCAUGUGGUGGCCUUUGGUCCUGAGCCCUUCGAAGGCAAAACCCACUUCCUAAGCCAUCCCAGCAGGGUUCAGUGCAGUUUUGUGAGGCUCUCCCUGUGGCAUCCAGGGCAGCAUCUCAAAUGGGAGCGUGCAGGAAUGAACCAGGCAUCACUGCUGCUGCUGAGUGUGAGCAAGUUGUUCUAAUGUACUUAUCUCCUGUUUCUGUAAAGGUUAUAGAAGUAAAUAAUCUUGCUCUAACACAGUGUCCUUGCAGUCCCUGCCUAGCUCCAUGGAUAACUCUUCCUGAGGCUGACUUGAGGUGAUUAAUACUCUACAAAAGGGAAUUAUUUUUUUAAAAGGGAGCAAGGAAGUAAAGCUUGAAGAUGCUUCAUGCCCCCUGUGCUUGAGACAGAUUAGUUUUAGUUUCUUCCUCCAGCUGGAGGGAGCUGGUGAAAUGUGUUCCCUCCUGCCCUGUGAUGUUGAUCCCUGGCACUGUGAGGAUUAGCAAGUGGCCAAAAGCAUCAGGAGGUGACUUUGCUCUGCCACAGGAUCCCUCCUGGCAGGCCUGGGCUGCCCAGGGGAAGCUGCCAGCACCCUGUGGACCAGGUGAGCAGCAUCAAGCUUCUUUCUGUGGGCUGGGGAGUUUGGAGGGGGGCUGGGGAGGGAAUGUGAGCUGGGCAGGAGAGGCUGAAGUGUCUCACCCCUACCUUGCUGGCGCUUGUGCUGUGCUGAGUUCACGCUGAUGCCUCUCCUGUCUCUGUAAUGGGUUUGUCAGCACUCUGCAGAGACCUGUGCUGGGUAGUGCCUUGGGCUAUAGCCAAGGACUGGGAGGCCACUGGGAAAUAGGCUGGUGCUGCCCAAGGUUUCCCUGAACAGUGUGGCAGGGCACCAAGUACACGUAACCCAGCAGCCAGUUUGAAACAUUGAGAUUAAUGAGAACUGCCCCUUUUCCCUGAAUAUUCUCAGUAUUGCACCCUUCUCCAUCCAUCCCAUAUGCUUGAACUACCUUGGGAUAGCCUGGGAUUGCAGUUCUGCAUUCCCUCCUUUUCCAGGAACGUUUUGUCUUCGUGGAGCACAAAGGUUGCCCUGAGCCACCCAGCUCUGUGCUCC
rnacentral:lncRNA from 12 species